UGUGACCUACGGGGCGCAGCAGUGGGGAAUAUUGCACAAUGGGGGAAACCCUGAUGCAGCGACGCCGCGUGAGAGAAGAAGUAUUUCGGUAUGUAAAGCUCUAUCAGCAGGGAAGAAAAUGACGGUACCUGACUAAGAAGCCCCGGCUAACUACGUGCCAGCAGCCGCGGUAAUACGUAGGGGGCAAGCGUUAUCCGGAUUUACUGGGUGUAAAGGGAGCGUAGACGGCACGGCAAGUCUGAAGUGAAAGGCAGGUGCUUAACCCCUGAAC
rnacentral:rRNA from 1 species